rnacentral:rRNA from 1 species
GACGAACGCUGGCGGCGUGCUUAACACAUGCAAGUCGAACGAAGUGGCGAACGGGUGAGUAACGCGUAAUCAACCUGCCCUUCAGAGGGGGACAACAGUUGGAAACGACUGCUAAUACCGCAUACUGAAGGAGGGGAUUGCGUCUGAUUAGCUAGUGGGAGGGGUAACGGCCCACGAAGGCGAUGAUCGGUAGCCGGGCGGGAGGGAUGGACGGCCAAAUUGGGAAUGGGACACGGCCCAGGAUCCUAAGGGAGGGAGCAGUGGGGAAACUUUCGCAAUGGAGGGAAGUCUGACGGAGCAAAGCCGGGUGGUUGGUGGCGGGCUUCGGGUUGUAAAGCUCUGUUAAUCGGGGCGCGGUACCGGAAGAGAAAGCCACGGCUAACUACGUGCCAGCCGCCGCGGUAAUAC